rnacentral:lncRNA from 1 species
UGGCGCUGUAUAAUAGCAGUAGCAGCUGAAUCCUCCGUCCAGGGGAAGUAAACACAGCAGUGUUCAAAUCCAGCAGCGGAGCGGCAGAAAUACAGCAUUAUUACAGCUAAUAAACCAGCUUAUAACUUCAUAUUUACAGCGCGGAAACGCCUCUAACAGGGGUUUUACAGUAGCGGCCUCUGUGUAGAAUUAAUCAGCCUGUUUUUGAGGCUCCAGCGCUGCGUUUUAAGCUCGUUUUAGUCCGGAAAGUGAAGAGUCAGAGCGCGGCUGAGCUCUGUAUCUACAGCCGGGAGUAUGAGCUCACAGCCCGGCACGGACCUUCCCGCCCUGCCCGCCCUCCCCCAGACCGGGGACGAGGCUCUGGCCAUCGAGACAGCCGUGAGGACCGCGGUUCUCUCCAUUAUGAAGGUGUUCCUGGACCUGAGCGAUAACAGAGCUCAGCGCUAUCAGCUUAAACUGGCCGAGAUGGAGCGGGAGAACUUCCAGCUGAAGCUGAAGCUGAAGGCGGCUGAGCUUCAGCUCCACGCCGGCCAGCACAGCACCUGCUCCGUGGAGAGCUACCAAAUCUCCGCGGACCUGACCUUCACUCCGGAGACCAGCCUCAGCCUCAGCUCAGUUACGGACAAUAAAGAAGAAGAACAAACAAGAGCAGAAGAAGCAUCAGAAGCUGUGGCAUCUUCUCAGAGUGAGGAGCCUCGCCUGGAAGCUUCAGACCUCAAACUAUUCAAAGAGGAACCCAACUAUGAAGACACGUUUUGGAUCAAGAAUGAAAUGGCAGAGGAAGGCUGUGUAGAGGCUGUGGCUUUCUGUGGGUACCCUGUCUUGACUGAUGACUUUAGUGGUGACCCACAUGUACAGCAGCAGCAGCAGCAGCAGAUCAUACCUGUGCAGAGGUGUGGAGCAUGCAGCAGCCUCAACCACACCAUCCGUGAAGAUGAUGCACCUACAGCUUCCAGUCUGCAGAGAAAGAAGUUGGCAAGCAGGGAGAGAGUGAGGCAGUACAGAGCACGGAUCCGAGCUGACCCUGAGAAGUACCAUAUGUUGAAGGAGAAGGACCGUAUAAGGUAUCUCAGCAGGAAAAAGACCAUAGCAGAUCUUCCGGAACCAAUGAAGAACCUGAAGAGGAAGGCCUGGAGAGAGGCUUCAAAACGGCACCGUGCCAGGAAGCUUUCCUUCAUACACAACACUACCAACAUAUGUGACCAACACUUUUAGCUGUUAAACACUGUAGUCUGUGCCUUUUGAGUUUAAUUUACUUUUAUAAUACUGAGUGAGAGGGGAAUCUCACUGCAUUUAUCUUUAGAUAAAAGCAUUACAUUUCUGACCUGUGCUUGAGCUUCAGUUCAUUUGGACUGAGCAAUAAACAACUGAUGAAACAUUAAUUAUACA